ensembl:lncRNA
GAUUAGUAUAGCUGGAUGAAGUAAUCUGAGAUCACUGGGUGGCUUAAAAGGGGCUACGCAUCGAUAGUAGAAACAUUGAUCGGCAACUCUGUGAUUGGUCGGCGAAGAUGUCGAAGGAGCGCGCUCAGUAUUUUACGGCAGUAGAGCAAGAACUCUUGAUUGAGGGAUAUCAGGAGUUUCAGAGUUUAAUUAAAACGCAGGAGAACACUGCAAAGGCUGCAAAAGCAAGGAGAGAGGGCUGGCAGAAAGUUGCUGACAAAUUAAACUCCAACCAAGAAAAGGGCAGAGCAAAUAAAGACAGGUGGUGGUCCUGCACCCCCUCGUCACACCCCGGCAGAGGAGCUGGCCCUAGGGUUAAAUGCCACCAGACCCAUUGUUGAGGGCAUCCCUGGGGGCAGCUCUUCCUUAGACCAGCAGCCGGGGUGCAGUAGCAGCAGCACCUUCAUAACUGUUUUACAUAACACUCCAUCACUUCUACCUGUUCCCAUGCAAGGGGUGACUGAAGCAUGCACA